GUUCUAGUUAGGUUCAUUCUUUUUUACUGUGAACUGUUUUAAUUUUCAGCGUUUGAGGAAUGUCUUUUAGUCAUAGGGAUAGACUAUUAGAAUGUUAACCGAGCUGAAGUCAGGUUUAGACCUGGUAUCCUAUUAAUUAUUUACCAAAAGAAUUCAGUAUUAUUAUUGUAACAUAAGCGUAAAAAACUUAUAAAACAACUUUUAACAACGGAUCUCUUGGUUCUCGCAUCGAUGAAGAACGUAGCAAAGUGCGAUAACUAGUGUGAAUUGCAUAUUCAGUGAAUCAUCGAGUCUUUGAACGCAACUUGCGCUCAAUGGUAUUCCAUUGAGCACGCCUGUUUCAGUAUCAAAAACACCCCACAUUCAUAAUUUUGUUGUGAAUGGAACUGAGAAUUUCGACUUGUUUGAAUUCUUUAAACUUAUUAGGCCUGAACUAUUGUUCUUUCUGCCUGAACAUUUUUUUAAUAUAAAGGAAUGCUCUAGUAUUAAGACUAUCUCUGGGGCCUCCCAAAUAAAACUUUCUUAAAUUUGAUCUGAAAUCAGGCGGGAUUACCCGCUGAACUUAAGCAUAUCAAUAAGCGGAGGA
rnacentral:rRNA from 1 species